CUCAGACACUUGAAGAGCUGAUGGAGAAGAGUGAUAGAUGGCUGUGCAGCAGCCACGAAGCUGCAACUCCCAGCAUUCCAGAGGAGCUCGAGAGAAGCAGGCCACCCAGUCACAUUUCUCCUCCAAGGGUGCUUAGUGGAAGAACAGCUGAAUGUGCAAGUUCAGAGCAGCAGGGGUGUGGUCAGUAUGAGGUCACACAAACAAUGCCUCAACGGAAUGGAACGCUUCCCGAACAGAAAGUUAUCACUGCUGAUCUCCUGGAGCGAUGCAACACAGGGACCACCGCUCAGAAACUCACCAAUGACCUGCUGCGCAGCCUCUACGACAGAGACUGUCUGGCCUCUCACUCAAUCUCAGGCAUCGUCAACAGCAAGCGAGGGAUGCCUAAGCCAGCUCUUCCGGCACAUGAGAUCCAGGCCAUUCUGAGGACAGUGCAGCGGUUCUUCCCCGGAAAGACUGAUUCGGAAAUAAAGGGCUACAUACGACAGAAGCUUCAGAAUGAGGCCAAGAGGCUUCGGAAAACGCCACACCCAGCUGAUGAUCCAUUGAUUCUGUUCGUAAAAGCUUAUCGAAUCGGCUGCACGAAAACGCACACGUUUUUUGCCUUUCCAGACAGAAGCACGCAGGCUCCUGAAGGCCAACGGCUGUGUGAGUAAAUUAACCCCGCAUUCACCAGCUGUAUCACCGCACCCACCCCUUUCUGGGGAAAAAACACAUCACCGAACACAUGGCACAAAGGACGGCGUGGGACCUGCUUAUGGUACAUAAUCAAUAGGCCUUAUCGUGCACACACAACCCGAACCGCAGACACACCAGC
rnacentral:lncRNA from 1 species